UACAGAGGUGGCGAGCGUUAUUCGGAAUUAUUGGGCGUAAAGGGCGCGUAGGCGGCCACGCAAGUCUUGGGUGAAAUCCCUCGGCUCAACCGAGGAACUGCCUUGGAAACUGCAUGGCUCGAGGCCGGGAGAGGGUAGCGGAAUUCCCCAGUGUAGCGGUGAAAUGCGUAGAUAUUGGGAGGAACACCGGUGGCGAAGGCGGCUACCUGGACCGGUUCUGACGCUGAUGCGCGAAAGCGUGGGGAGCGAACAGG
rnacentral:rRNA from 1 species